rnacentral:Y_RNA from 1 species
GGCUGGUCUGAAUGCAGUGAUAUUUUUCACUAAUUAAUCAUAGUCAGUUACAAAUUUAUUUGUUCCUUCUUCAUUCCCACUGCUUCACUUGACUGGCCUCAA